rnacentral:rRNA from 1 species
AGAGUUUGAUCCUGGCUCAGGAUGAACGCUAGCUACAGGCUUAACACAUGCAAGUCGAGGGGCAGCAUGGUCUUAGCUUGCUAAGGCCGAUGGCGACCGGCGCACGGGUGAGUAACACGUAUCCAACCUGCCGUCUACUCUUGGACAGCCUUCUGAAAGGAAGAUUAAUACAAGAUGGCAUCAUGAGUCCACAUGUUCACAUGAUUAAAGGUAUUCCGGUAGACGAUGGGGAUGCGUUCCAUUAGAUAGUAGGCGGGGUAACGGCCCACCUAGUCUUCGAUGGAUAGGGGUUCUGAGAGGAAGGUCCCCCACAUUGGAACUGAGACACGGUCCAAACUCCUACGGGAGGCAGCAGUGAGGAAUAUUGGUCAAUGGGCGAGAGCCUGAACCAGCCAAGUAGCGUGAAGGAUGACUGCCCUAUGGGUUGUAAACUUCUUUUAUAAAGGAAUAAAGUCGGGUAUGGAUACCCGUUUGCAUGUACUUUAUGAAUAAGGAUCGGCUAACUCCGUGCCAGCAGCCGCGGUAAUACGGAGGAUCCGAGCGUUAUCCGGAUUUAUUGGGUUUAAAGGGAGCGUAGAUGGAUGUUUAAGUCAGUUGUGAAAGUUUGCGGCUCAACCGUAAAAUUGCAGUUGAUACUGGAUAUCUUGAGUGCAGUUGAGGCAGGCGGAAUUCGUGGUGUAGCGGUGAAAUGCUUAGAUAUCACGAAGAACUCCGAUUGCGAAGGCAGCCUGCUAAGCUGCAACUGACAUUGAGGCUCGAAAGUGUGGGUAUCAAACAGGAUUAGAUACCCUGGUAGUCCACACGGUAAACGAUGAAUACUCGCUGUUUGCGAUAUACAGCAAGCGGCCAAGCGAAAGCGUUAAGUAUUCCACCUGGGGAGUACGCCGGCAACGGUGAAACUCAAAGGAAUUGACGGGGGCCCGCACAAGCGGAGGAACAUGUGGUUUAAUUCGAUGAUACGCGAGGAACCUUACCCGGGCUUAAAUUGCAGAUGAAUUACGGUGAAAGCCGUAAGCCGCAAGGCAUCUGUGAAGGUGCUGCAUGGUUGUCGUCAGCUCGUGCCGUGAGGUGUCGGCUUAAGUGCCAUAACGAGCGCAACCCUUGUUGUCAGUUACUAACAGGUUUCGCUGAGGACUCUGACAAGACUGCCAUCGUAAGAUGUGAGGAAGGUGGGGAUGACGUCAAAUCAGCACGGCCCUUACGUCCGGGGCUACACACGUGUUACAAUGGGGGGUACAGAGGGCCGCUACCACGCGAGUGGAUGCCAAUCCCCAAAACCUCUCUCAGUUCGGAC